UUAAGUCAGGCAACAAGCGAGACCCGUGCCCACUGUUACCAGCAUGUCCUCCGGGACGAUGGGUACUCUGUGGGGACCGCCGGUGUUAAAUCGGAGGAAGGUGCGGGCCACGGUAGGUCAGUAUGCCCCGAAUCUCCCGGGCUACACGCGGGCUACAAUGGAUGGGACAAUGGGUCCCUACCCCGAAAGGGGCUGGUAAUCUCACAAACCCAUCCGUAGUUCGGAUCGAGGGCUGUAACUCGCCCUCGUGAAGCUGGAAUCCGUAGUAAUCGCGUUUCAAUAUAGCGCGGUGAAUACGUCCCUGCUCCUUGCACA
rnacentral:rRNA from 1 species